rnacentral:tRNA from 2 species
AUCUAGGUAGUUUAAUAUCAAAAUAUUGAUUUGUGGAAUCAAAGAUGUAGUUUUAUUCUAGAUA